AUUGAACGCUGGCGGAAUGCUUUACACAUGCAAGUCGAACGGCAGCACGGACUUCGGUCUGGUGGCGAGUGGCGAACGGGUGAGUAAUAUAUCGGAACGUGCCCAGUCGUGGGGGAUAACGUAGUGAAAAUUACGCUAAUACCGCAUACGAUCUAUGGAUGAAAGCGGGGGACCUUUGGGCCUCGCGCGAUUGGAGCGGCCGAUAUCAGAUUAGGUAGUUGGUGGGGUAAAGGCUCACCAAGCCAACGAUCUGUAGCUGGUCUGAGAGGACGACCAGCCACAGUGGGACUGAGAGACGGACCAGACUCCUACGGGAGGCAGCAGUGGGGAAUUUUGGACAAUGGACGCAAGUCUGAUCCAGCCAUUCCGCGUGCAGGACGAAGGCCUUCGGGUUGUAAACUGCUUUUGUACAGAACGAAAAGGUUUCUACUAAUACUAGGAGCUCAUGACGGUACUGUAAGAAUAAGCACCGGCUAACUACGUGCCAGCAGCCGCGGUAA
rnacentral:rRNA from 1 species